UACGUAGGUGACAAGCGUUGUCCGGAUUUACUGGGCGUAAAGAGCGCGCAGGCGGUUGGAUAAGUCGAAUGUGAAAGCCCCCGGCUCAACUGGGGAGGGUCAUUCGAUACUGUCCGACUCGAAGGCAGGAGAGGGAAGCGGAAUUCCCGGUGUAGUGGUGAAAUGCGUAGAUAUCGGGAGGAACACCAGUGGCGAAGGCGGCUUUCUGGCCUGUUCUUGACGCUGAGGCGCGAAAGCCAGGGGAGCAAACGGG
rnacentral:rRNA from 1 species